rnacentral:rRNA from 1 species
CCUACGGUGAGCAGCAGUGAGGAAUAUUGGUCAAUGGGCGGAAGCCUGAACCAGCCAAGUAGCGUGCGGGAUGAAGGCCCUACGGGUCGUAAACCGCUUUUGCACGGGGAUAACACCCUCCACUUGUGGAGGUCUGCAGGUACCGUGCGAAUAAGGGCCGGCUAAUUCCGUGCCAGCAGCCGCGGUAAGACGGAAGGCCCGAGCGUUAGCGGGAUUCAUUGGGCUUAAAGGGAGCGUAGGCGGGCGGUCAAUUCAGCUGUAAAAUCGCGCGGCUCAACCGCGCCCCGCAGUUGAAACUGGACGCCUUGAGUACACAACAGGCAGGCGGAAUUCGUGGUGUAGCGGUGAAAUGCAUAGAUAUCACGAGGAACCCCGAUUGCGAAGGCAGCCUGCCGGGGUGCGACUGACGCUGAGGCUCGAAGGUGCGGGUAUCAAACAGGAUUAGAUACCCUUGUAGUC